UGCCAGCAGCCGCGGUAAUACGAAGGGGGCUAGCGUUGUUCGGAAUUACUGGGCGUAAAGCGCGCGCAGGCGGUCUUCCAAGUCAGUGGUGAAAGCCCGGAGCUCAACUCCGGAACUGCCAUUGAAACUGUUAGACUUGAGGAUGAGAGAGGUGAGUGGAAUUCCCAGUGUAGAGGUGAAAUUCGUAGAUAUUGGGAAGAACACCGGUGGCGAAGGCGGCUCACUGGCUCAUUUCUGACGCUCAGGCGCGACAGCGUGGGGAUCAAACAGGAUUAGAUACCCUGGUAGUCCACGCCGUAAACGAUGAUUGCUAGCCGUUGGGCAGCUUGCUGUUCAGUGGCGCAGCUAACGCAUUAAGCAAUCCGCCUGGGGAGUACGGCCGCAAGGUUGAAACUCAAAGGAAUUGACGGGGGCCCGCAAG
rnacentral:rRNA from 1 species